GGUGUCUUGCAAAGUAUGUUUUUUUUUUCUUCCAGAGGAAAGACAAUGAGACCGUAAAGCUGGUGUCUACUGAAAAACCCGUGAUGAAUGCUGUGGCAGGACGGUCCGUACCUAUUUAUUGCCCGCGUUAUGACACAAACAACCCAGGAGGGGGCGCCGAGAACAAAAAGAAAUGAACCUGCCGCUCAAGUUGUCGCUACUACACCCAGUAGCAAAAACAACACCUUCACCAGAAUCUCCAGCGCCGGCUCCUGCAGGACCCCUAGAACUCCUGGUUGCUCUGGCACCGCCGCCGUACCCGGCUCCUCGGCCAUGGCAGCAGGAAAGAAAUC